CCUACGGGUGGCAGCAGUAGGGAAUAUUGCUCAAUGGGGGAAACCCUGAAGCAGCAACGCCGCGUGGAGGAUGAAGGUUUUCGGAUCGUAAACUCCUUUUGUUAGAGAAGAUAAUGACGGUCUCCAAUGAAUAAGCACCGGCUAACUCCGUGCCAGCAGCCGCGGUAAUACGGAGGGUGCAAGCGCUAAUCGGAAGCACUGGGCGUAAAGAGCGCGUAGGCGGGUUAGCAAGUCAGAUGUGAAAUCCUAUGGCUUAACCAUAGAACUGCAUUUGAAACUGUGAGUCUAGAGUAUGGGAGAGGUAGGUGGAAUUCUAGGGGUAGGAGUAAAAUCCGUAGAGAUCAAGAGGAAUACUCAUGGCGAAGGCGACCUGCUGGAACAUGACUGACGCUGAGGCGCGAAAGCGUGGGGAGCAAACAGGAUUAGAUACCCUUGUAGUC
rnacentral:rRNA from 1 species